AACGAACGCUGGCGGCAUGCCUAACACAUGCAAGUCGAACGAGACCUUCGGGUCUAGUGGCGCACGGGUGCGUAACGCGUGGGAAUCUGCCCCUUGGUUCGGAAUAACUUCGGGAAACUGAAGCUAAUACCGGAUAAUGACGUAAGUCCAAAGAUUUAUCGCCAAGGGAUGAGCCCGCGUAGGAUUAGCUAGUUGGUGGGGUAAAGGCUCACCAAGGCGACGAUCCUUAGCUGGUCUGAGAGGAUGAUCAGCCACACUGGGACUGAGACACGGCCCAGACUCCUACGGGAGGCAGCAGUGGGGGAAUAUUGGACAAUGGGCGAAAGCCUGAUCCAGCAAUGCCGCGUGAGUGAUGAAGGCCUUAGGGUUGUAAAGCUCUUUUACCCGGGAAGAUAAUGACUGUACCGGGAGAAUAAGCCCCGGCUAACUCCGUGCCAGCAGCCGCGGU
rnacentral:rRNA from 1 species